rnacentral:rRNA from 1 species
AACUGCGAGUGAAGCGGGAAAAGCUCAAAUUUAAAAUCUGGCAGUCUUUUGGCUGUCCGAGUUGUAAUUUAGAGAAGCGUCUUCCGCGCCGGACCGUGCACAAGUCUCCUGGAAUGGAGCGUCAUAGAGGGUGAGAAUCCCGUCUUUGGCAUGGACACCCGGGGCUUUUGCGAUGCGCUCUCGAAGAGUCGAGUUGUUUGGGAAUGCAGCUCAAAAUGGGUGGUGAACUCCAUCUAAAGCUAAAUAUUGGCGAGAGACCGAUAGCGAACAAGUACCGUGAGGGAAAGAUGAAAAGCACUUUGGAAAGAGAGUGAAACAGUACGUGAAAUUGUUGAAAGGGAAACGCUUGAAGUCAGUCGCGUCGAUCGAGACUCAGCCUUGCCUUGGCUUGGCAUACUUCUCGGCUGACGGGCCAGCAUCAAUUUUGUCUCUCGGAUAAUGACAAGGGAAAGGUGGCACCUUCACCGGUGUGUUAUAGUCUCCUGUCGCAUGCGAGGGGUGGGAUUGAGGAACUCAGCACGCACCUCUUGGUGUCGGGGCUUCUGCCC